rnacentral:lncRNA from 1 species
GACCCCAUUGGGAUGGAGGUGGGACCCCCAGCUGGGAUGGAGGUGAGACCCCAUUGGGAUGGAGGUGGGACCCCCCCAUUGGGAUGGAGGUGAGACCCCAUUGGGAUGGAGGUGGGACCCCAGUUGGGAUGGAGAUGGGGCCCCCCGGGUGGGACCCCUUCAUUGGGGUGGAGAUGGGACCCCCAUUGGGAUGGGGGUGGGACCCCAUUGAGAUGGAGAUGGGACCCCCAGUUGGGAUGGAGAUGGAGCCCCCUGGUGGGACCCUCCAUUGGGAUGGAGGUGGGACCCCCAGUUGGGAUGAAAGUGGAACCCCUAUGGGAUGGAGGUGGGACCCCAUUGGGAUGGAGGUGGGACCCCCAUUGGGAUGAAAGUGGGACCCCCAUUGGGAUGGAGGUGGGAUCCCAUUGGGAUGGAGGUGGGACCCCCAGUUGGGAUGAAAGUGGGACCCCCAGUUGGGAUGGAGAUGGGGCCCCCUGGGUGGGACCCCUUCAUUGGGGUAGAGGUGGGACCCCAUUGGGAUGGGGACUGGGACCCCCCCGGUGGGACCCCUCCUUUGGGGUGGAGAUGGGACCCCCGCCCACCUCCACCAGUUUGUAGAGGAAGGAGAAGACCAUGGAGGCGUUGGCGUUCUUCUUGGUGACAGCCACCACUGCGUGCGGGGUCAAGGA